UACAUGGGGUGCAAACGUUGCUCGGAAUUAUUGGGCGUAAAGCGCACGUAGGCGGUUCGUUAAGUCGGAUGUGAAAGCCCUCGGCUCAACUGAGGAAGUGCACCCGAAACUGGCGAGCUUGAGUACGAAAGAGGAUCGCGGAAUUCCCGGUGUAGAGGUGAAAUUCGUAGAUAGUCGGGAGGAACACCGGGUGGCGAAGGCGGCGAUCUGGGUCGAUACUGACGCGUGAGGUGCGAAAGCGUGGGGAGCAAACAGG
rnacentral:rRNA from 1 species